CAAGGAACUGCUCAAGAA
rnacentral:siRNA from 1 species